GCUGGGUGCAGUGGAACAUGCCUGUAAUUCCAGCGGCACAGGAGGCUGAGACAGGAGGAUUGCAAGUUCAAACCCAGCCUCAGCAACUUAGAGGGGCCCUAAGAAACUUAGCGAGAUCCUGUCUCUA
rnacentral:sRNA from 1 species